rnacentral:rRNA from 1 species
AACGAACGCUGGCGGCAGGCCUAACACAUGCAAGUCGAACGCUGUAGCAAUACAGAGUGGCAGACGGGUGAGUAACGCGUGGGAAUCUUCCUAUCGGUACGGAAUAGCUCAGGGAAACUUGGGGUAAUACCGCAUACGCCCUUCGGGGGAAAGAUUUAUCGCCGAUAGAUGAGCCCGCGUCUGAUUAGCUAGUUGGUGAGGUAACGGCUCACCAAGGCGACGAUCAGUAGCUGGUCUGAGAGGAUGACCAGCCACACUGGGACUGAGACACGGCCCAGACUCCUACGGGAGGCAGCAGUGGGGAAUAUUGGACAAUGGGGGCAACCCUGAUCCAGCCAUGCCGCGUGAGUGACGAAGGUCUUCGGAUUGUAAAGCUCUUUUGGCGGGGACGAUAAUGACGGUACCCGCAGAAUAAGCCCCGGCUAACUUCGUGCCAGCAGCCGCAGUAAAAC